rnacentral:rRNA from 1 species
GUCGACCUCAAAGGAACCUUUUACCCGGACCGGCACUCCCCAACACCUUCCCACGGGAGCUGCUCGUCCUGUCAUGGUGCAGGGAAUGAGUAGCCAGACUGACUGUACUGGUAGAAGUAUUUACCCUACCUCUCGACGACUCCCUCCGGGACAGUACCUGACCGGCUCUGACAGCUCGUAGCACAACUUUUAGAAGUCUCCAUGAAGAAAGUGAGGACGUUAGAUACACACUGACAAAGAUGUUCGAAUCUAAGUCACUAACCAACAACAGCGUAAGCGCACCACAGGUAGACUAGGACUCCAACGCUAUAUGAAACAGUUGGUUACCUACGACCGGCUCCAGCGGGUCCAGCUCUCGCGCGGGUGGCCGGACUUCGAGUAGGUGCUCGGGACUUGAGAGUUCCAGUCGCUGCAUCUACCCACAGGGAUGGUCACCGAGAAGUUCUCUCUCCUCGUUCUUGUACUACCGCCGCCCCACAAGCCAGACACCAGGUGAAGCUACGCCCUGCACCUCCGCACUAGGCUGUUUCGGAGGGCUACGAGGUUGGUGACGAAGGGUAGUUGCGGUUCCUCGUCAUCGGAGGCGUCCAGUCACCAC